rnacentral:rRNA from 1 species
UACGGGGGGGGCAAGCGUUGUUCGGAAUUACUGGGCGUAAAGGGCGCGUAGGCGGCCUUCUAAGUCAGACGUGAAAUCCCUCGGCUCAACCGAGGAACUGCGUCUGAUACUGGAAGGCUUGAAUCCGGGAGAGGGAUGUGGAAUUCCAGGUGUAGCGGUGAAAUGCGUAGAUAUCUGGAGGAACACCUGUGGCGAAAGCGGCGCACUGGACCACAACUGACGCUGAGGCGCGAAAGCUAGGGGAGCAAACAGG